GCAGGCCUAAUACAUGCAGUCGAACGGUGUAGCAAUACAUAGUGGCGCACGGGUGCGUAACACGUAUGCAACCUACCUUACAUUGGGGGAUAGCCUUUCGAAAGGGAGAUUAAUACCGCAUAAGACAGUAGAACCGCAUGGUUCAGCUGUUAAAGAUUUAUCGAUGUAAGAUGGGCAUGCGUCCAAUUAGCUAGUUGGUGAGGUAAUGGCUCACCAAGGCUUUGAUUGGUAGGGGAACUGAGAGGUCAAUCCCCCACACUGGCACUGAGAUACGGGCCAGACUCCUACGGGAGGCAGCAGUAGGGAAUAUUGGGCAAUGGACGCAAGUCUGACCCAGCCAUGCCGCGUGCAGGAUGAAGGCGUUAUGCGUUGUAAACUGCUUUUAUACAGGAAGAAACGACUCUUGCGAGAGGCAUUGACGGUACUGUAUGAAUAAGCACCGGCUAACUCCGUGCCAGCAGCCGCGGUAAUACGGAGGGUGCAAGCGUUGUCCGGAUUUAUUGGGUUUAAAGGGUGCGCAGGUGGUUUAUUAAGUCAGUGGUGAAAGACGGUCGCUCAACGAUUGCAGUGCCAUUGAAACUAGUAGACUUGAGUAAAGUAGAGGUGGGCGGAAUUGAUAGUGUAGCGGUGAAAUGCAUAGAUAUUAUCAAGAACUCCAAUUGCGUAGGCAGCUCACUUGGCUUUUACUGACACUCAUGCACGAAAGUGUGGGUAUCAAACAGGAUUAGAUACCCUGGUAGUCCACACUGUAAACGAUGAUAACUAGGUGUCGGCCGAAUCUGGUCGGUGCCACAGCGAAAGCGUUAAGUUAUCCACCUGGGGAGUACGCCGGCAACGGUGAAACUCAAAUGAAUUGACGG
rnacentral:rRNA from 1 species